UAGAAAUGUUUUGUCCCAUUACUUGAUCUCUGAAUGUUUGUUCUUUCCGAUUUUUUGGCGUAUAUGAUCUCGAAGUAUAUACAAACAAGUUUGAUGGUUGGAUCGUUGAUACUAGUUUCGUAGAAUGUGUAUCCCAUCAAAACAAUAGAUUCACUAACAAUUAAGAGCUUAUUUAUAAUUUCAUUAAAUAUAACAUAACAUUUUGUGGUAUCUAGUGUAAAUAUUUUCAAUUGAAGAUCAAAUUCAAUCAUUGUAUUCAUAUAGGGUUAGGGAGUGUAGCUAUUAAAAAAUCAUCAAAAUCGGAGUUAAAAUAACCGUUAAAUCGUGAUUUUUCAUUUAUAACAGUCGAAAAGUUUUGUCCCGUUACUAGAUCUCUGCAUGUUUGUUUUUUGCGAUUUUUUGCGUAAGCGAUCUCGAAAUAUAUACAAACAAGUUUGACGGUUGGAUCUUUGAAACUAGUUUUGUAGAAUGCAUAUUCCAUCAAAACAAUAGAUUCACUAACACUUUGAGUUUAUAACUUUCAUCAAGUAUAACAUAAGAUUUUGUGGUAUCUACUAGUGUAAAUAUGUUAAAUUAAAGAUCAAAUUCAUUCAUUAUAUUCAUAUACGGUCAAGGAGUGUAGCUGUAAAAAAUCAUCAAAAUCGGAGUUAAAAUAACCGUUAAAUCGUGAUUUUUCGCUUAUAACAAUCGAAAAGUUUCGGUCCGUUACUUGAUCUCUGAAUGUUUGUUUUUUACGAUUUUUGGUGUAUGCGAUCUCAAUGUAUAUACAAACAAGUUUGACGGCUGGAUCUUUGAAACUAGUUUCAUAGAAUGCGUAUCCUAUCAAAACAAUAGAUUCACUAACACUUAAAGAGUUUAUUUAUAUUUUCAUUAAGUAUAACAUAAGCUAGUGCAAAUAUUUUUAAAUUGAAGAUCAAAUUUAUUCAUUGUAUUCAUAGAGGGUCAAGGAGUGUAGCUGUAAAAAAUCAUCAAAAUCGGAGUUAAAAUAACCGUUAAAUCAUGAUUUUUUGUUUACAACCGUCGAAAAGUUUUGUUCCAUUACUUGAUCUUUGAAUUUUUGUUUUUUGCGAUUUUUGACGUAUACGAUCUCGAAGUAUAUACACCAGUUUGACGGUUGGAUCGUUGAAUGGUGUGUAUAUAUAUAUACACACACUAAAUAGCUUUAAAUUUAUUUAUUUUGUACAUAUAACACUUAAGAAAUUGAAUGGUAUAUAUAUUUUUUGGUAGCUUUAAAUUUAUUAUUGUAGUUCGGAUCGGGUUUUUAUUAAAAAAAUAUAUGAUUGUGGGUUUUAUGUAAAAAAAUUGAAUUUGAAGGGAGUAAAGUUACAUUUUCGGUAAACUUUAUAAUAAUUUAAAAAGAAAAAUAUAACUUGUGUGACGCCACAAUGGGGUCGUUUGCGCAAAAACCAAUAGCGCGACGUCAUAAUGUAAACAUGCGUCACGCUAACCAAUUUAUUUAUUUUAUUUUAUUUCAUAUUAUAAAUUUUAAGAUAUAGUUGUUUUCAUAAGUUUUCAUUAUUUUUUUAAAACUUUCCUCAACAAAUAUCAAUAUUUCGUCGCCU
rnacentral:lncRNA from 1 species